GCGGAAGCAGACGCGGAAGAGGACUUGGUGAGCGCGCGGCAGCUUUAUUAAACCACGGGAUAACGGCUGCCCGCAGCCUCCGGAUCGGUGGGCGCUUGCGGAAGGGGACCCGGCUCAGGGCCCAGGGCUGGGACUCAGCCACUCUGACAGGUUGGAGACCUCCUGCAGCCACAGCACGUCCUGCGGGAACAAGGGGGCCCGGGGUGAGGACCUCUCAGCAGCGGCCCGUGGCCUGCACCUCCUGCUGAGCCCUUCCCUGCGCGGCCCUCGCCCAGUUACCUCCAGGCGGCUUCCGAGGCUCGCCCUGCCCGGCGCCAGGGCCCUGCCGUGAGCCUCGCGGUGCUCCCUUCCUCUAGGAGUGAGGGGGGCCGCGGUGGCUUCCGGGCGGCGCGGGGCGGCCUCUGACGGGCUCGGGGCCCUGGCAGAGCGCAGAGCUCGCAUCUCCUCUAUGCGGGGGCUGCCCCUCUUGAGCCUCUUGUUUUCUGCUUGCCCGCUGGUAUCUAGGAGAAAAACAAGCCUCUUCAUCUUACUUUCAUGGCCCUGUGCUAGGAGCACCCUUGGCCAAGGGGAAGCCUGGGAGAACGGGCGCCGAGGGGCUCUUCCCACCGCAUCCCUGUCAGCAGGUCCCAUCCACACCAAAACCCUGCAGCUGUGGGCGCUUCUGGAGCAGCCCGAGGCUGCAGAGACGUUUCAGGGUCUCCCUAUUCUCUCACCCAGGCGGGAGAUUGUCCCGAGCCCUCACUUGGGGGACUCAGGCCGCUCAGUAACUUUCUGUAUAGAUUCUUCCUGGAGUCUGCACUGACAAGCUCCCCUCCCUGCCAGCCUCUGUCCCCCCUCACCUUUCUGGCCUCAGUUCUGUCUCCCUUUGUUGCUCACGUUGCAUUGAGCAGUGCCCAUAGGCAGCUUUCCUACUCUUAACUGAUUCAUUUGUCAAAUUAAAGCGAGUUUAGAUGGAUAGAUUCUUCCCCAGCAGGUCUUGGGGAUGCAGAUCAAUGAGCUUUUCCCUGAGAGAAGCUCACAGAUGCUAGGAGGGGAUGCAGACCUGUGUACAAAGCCCAGGGUUAGAAUAGAGAAGGAAGCCGACCACCUCUGGAUGUGAAGAAGGGUUUCCAUGAGGAGAUACCUGAGCUGACCUUUUGUUUUUUUGAGACAAGGUCUUGCUCUGUUGCCCAGGCUGGAGUGCAGUGGCUCAGUCCUGGCUCACUGCAGCCUCGACCUCCUGGGCUCAAGCGAUCCUACUGCCUCAGCUUCAGCUUCCAGAGUACCAGGAACCACAGGCGCAUGCCACCACACCGGCUAAUUUUUUUUACUUGUAGAGACAGGGGUCUCACCGUGUUGCCCAGGCUAGUCUCAAGCUGUCCUCCCGCCCCAGCUCCCCAAAGUGACGGUAUUACAGGCAUAAGUCACCACUCCUGCCCCAGAGCUGGGUUUUGAAGGAUGAAGAGUGAUAUGCCAGACAAGGGAGAGAAAGGGAAUUUCUUGCUGAAAGUUAACACAAACCUUAUGCAAAGGCAUAAAACAACUUCCUAUGUAAAUUUUUACUUUUUAAAGAUGAGGUCUCGCCUGUCACCUAGGCUGGAGUGCAGUGGCGUGAUUGUAGCUCACUGCAGCUUUGAACUCCCGGCCUCAUCCUCUCGAGUAACUGGGACUAAAGGCACACACCACCUUGCCUGGCUAGAAACAGAUUUUCAUCUGUAGAAGACAGGAAGCCAAUAAAGAGUUUUAAGCACUGGUGAAAUAUAUUGGUAAUUUUGUACUUCAGAAAGAUCGUUCUUUCAAAGGUGUGGCUUAGAUCAAACUAGAGACAGGAAGACCUUAAGAGCCCAAUAACAAGUAAAGACAGUGGAGAUAGAGGCGUCACCAGGAAUCAGAAGUGUUCAUCAGGCCUAAGUGAUAGGCCUUUGUGAGCGCCUGGAUGUGGGAGAGGCCUCUUGGCCGGGCGCGGUGGCUCAUGCCUGUAAUCCCAGCACUUUGGGGGGCCGAGGCGGGCAGAUCACGAGGUCAGGAGAUUGAGACCAGCUUGGCCAACAUGGUGAAACCCCGUCUCUACUAAAAAUACAAAAAUUAGCUGGGCAUGGUGGUGGGCGCCUGUAAUCCCAACUACUCAGAGGCUGAGGCAAGAGAAUCACUUGAACUUGGGAGGCAGGGAGGUUGCAGUGAGCCGAGAUCACGCCACUGCACUCCAGUCUGGGCAACAGAGGGAGACUCUGUCUCAAAAAAAAAAAAAAAAAAAAAAAAUGAGAGGCCUCUUGAAUGAAUCCAAGAUUUCAGAUGUGAUAAAUUGGAUUAAUCAUGAAACAGACUAAAAGUCUCUUUAGUCAGGAGAGAGGAAACUGAGGUACCAAUGGGACCUCCACGAGGAGCUGCCUAGUGAGCAAAUGAAUCUCCCAGCUGGCACUCAGCAGAGGCCUUGGCUGGUCAUACCAAUUUGAGAGUCUUGAGCCCAGAGGCAGUGGUCAACAGUUGGGAUGGAAGAUAGCUGGGUGGGAGAGCAGGAUGAGCACUAUUUAGGCAUGACCAGAGGAAAGUAGAUGAAGAGAAAAGCCCAGGGAGGGAAAAACCAGGCGAGUCAUAGCCUUACAGUGCCAAAUUUUGCACAUAGUUCAGAUACAAUGAAGGUAAAUGCAAAAUUUGGUAAUUAAGAGGCCUUCCCUGAGGAGAGAAGUUUCAGAGGCCACAGAAAAAGCAAGUACCCUAAGUGAGGGAGAGAAUGAGAGGAAGAAAGGGAGACAGGGUGCAUGCAGCUUGUGGUUUUGAGAUCCUUGGCUGAGAUGUGAGGGAGAGAGGUUGAGGAUAAGUGGAGGAAGUUCAAGGUCACGGGAGAUUUUCUUCUGAUGAAAUGAGAGCUUGACCUGCUGAGGGAAAGGAACUCAGGGGAAGGCUGAAGGUGCAGCAGUGAUAACUGAUGCAAGCAGGUCCCAAGAAAGCAGAAGGGACGAUCCCACUGUGAGCCUGGAGGAAAUGGGUCCCCACACUGAUGAGGUUCUGCAGUGGGAGGGUGCAAGUUGGGUGAGUUUACUGAGAAAAGAGAUCCGUAAGUAUGAAGCAGGAGGCAGAGACUGGGUAGAUUUUUUAAAGAAUGGAGUAGCCACUGAGGGACAAAGGCCAGAAAGGCAGGGGGAAGGACUGACAAACCAAAGGCUCCUGAGUGAGUGGACCACCAAUGGAUGGUGGCAUCAACACACAGUUUGGUGAUUUUCUUCAGCAGGGCUGCCCAUGUGAGGCGUAGAAUGGAUGCUGAGAGCCACAGGUCUGUAGGACAGAACAGCCCAAGCCAUCCUCCAGGGGUUCCACCAGAUUAUAAACACCUAGAUUUUAAAGCUCAUGUUGCACACUGGAGAAAACAUGGGCUUUGGAGGCGGCAAACUGAAAGUCAUUACCUCCUGCUAAGCGUUCUGCCUCACCUGAGCCUGGGUCCUCUAGUUUGUUAGGAUCCAUGCCUCCCCCUGCCCCCAGAAGGGCACUGUAAAGACUAAAUGAGAUAAGGCUGUGGAAGACCCCAGCAUCUCCCCAGGGUCCACAGAAGGUACUGAAUUAAAUGUUAAUUUUUUUCCUUGUAUGGGAAGAUACUUAUUCCUUUGUCUCUUCUGACUGCAUAAAUACUGAAUUGUAUGUAUCAUAUUUGCAUUUUUUAAAAUCUCCAGAUCUAAAUUUAUAAAAAUAGAUUCUUUGCUUUGUACAAGCGUUCACAGCAGGGUUCUUUUCAGUAGCAACAGCCCCCACAACAUUUAAAACAUGGUUCAGUUGACAGUGAUUUCAGGGACACAUCUUAGGCCUAAGCAUAAACGCGUAUGUGUUGUGGUUGUGACCCUAGAAAGAGGGAUUUACCAACCAAGCAUAGGUGCUGACGUCACGAUCCCCAGCUUCCCUUGACCCAGAUACUGUUUUAUCUGAAGGACUCAGGAUCUGUAGGAGGGCAUCCCUGCUAAUUCGGCUCUUCCAGAGACAGCAGAGCUAGGCUGCCUGGGUUUGAAUUCUUGCUCUGUCAUUUACUGGCUGUGUAGCCUUGGGUAAGUUUAUUGAUAUCUGUGGGCCUCAAUUUCCUCAUAUGCAAAAUGAGAGUUAAUAACAGUACCUAUAGCUCCUAGGAUAGUUUUGAGAACUAAGAGCAUUAGUACAUUUUAAAAGCUCAGAAUAGUACCUGGCAUCUCUGCUAGUGACUGAAUGUGAGAGCUGCUGUACCCCUGCUGCUGUGGGCUGGGAAGGCUGUUUAAGCACUGCAGGAGACAUGUAUGGAGAAAAGACUUCAGUAUAAUUGCAAUCACAACCCACGCACUGACACUUUCCCAUAACACACAUUAAGAGUGACAUGGUGCCAGGCCGGGCGCGGUGGCUCACGCCUGUAAUCCCAGCACUUUGGGAGGCCAAGGCAGGCGGAUCACAAGGUCAGGAGAUCGAGACCAUCCUGGCUAACACGGUGAAACCCCGUCUCUACUAAAAAUACAAAAAUUUAGCCGGGCGUGAUGGCGGGCGCCUGUGGUCCCAGCUACUCGGGAGGCUGAGGCAGGAGAAUGGUGUGAACCCGGGAGGCGGAGCUUGCAGUGAGCCGAGAUGGCGCCACUGCACUCCAGCCUGGGCGACAGAGGUGAGACUCUGUCUCAAAAAAAUAAAAAUAAAAUAAAAUUCAGGGCCCUGAAUCUGCGUAUUACCUACCCCCACCCCAUCAUGUGCAGCUAUCUGUAACUGCACAGACUUUAAUACAAAUUUCUAGUCCUGUCCUAACAUCUUGGGGAGGGAAGACCUGCUGCUGCCUUGAAGACCCACAGUGGCAGCAACAGCCCACUAAAUUGCAGAAGGACGCCGCUGUAGUAGAAGGUACAGUGGAAUAGUUUGAAAGUUUGAACUCACGUUUUUUACUUCCUCUGCUGCAGUCCAGGGCUCACUUGAAAAGCUAAAACCUUACCUGCUAGGAGCUCCAGGCUGCUGUUAUCAGGUGCGUCCUCAGUGCCCUGGGCUGAGUCCUUUUUUUCUAGGGUUAGCUGCUUAAAAAAAUUAGAAGUCCUAAGUGAGUUUUGUAGAAACAUGAACGAGCCCUAGUGAAACAGGAGUGUGCCUGGUGGCUUCACUGACCUCACAAGGUUAUCUGCCCUCACCUGGAACUCCCUCUUCCUCCUGGCUCAUGAAUCCCCCUACCCACCCUCCAGUCUUCAAGGUUUCCCUCUGUGGAUCCUUCUCCACUCUGGCCAUUCACGGCACAUCCUUUCUUCUCUGAGCUCCAGUCUCUUGGCUACUGCCUGCCCAUUCCUCGGGCUCUGCAUACUCUGCAAGUAUCCUGUGUGCCCAUUCAUCAAGUAAUGUGCAAAUGUCCAUUUUCUACACCCUAAAUCCCUUCAAAGGCAAGGGCCAUCAUGCCUUUAUCACUUUACAGCUAGCAGAGUGCCUUACACCAGGUAAGUUUGACUGAGAAAGUCAAACCUGGGAAGCCACAGGGUAUAUUCUGUAGUCAUCGGUAGCCUCCUAGAGCCCUGCCACACUGGUUAGUUCAAUAAUUUGGACAGAGAAAAAGAGGUUCUUACUGAGACCAGAACCCAAUCCUCCCAGCUCCUUUUCAAGAAUACAGAUGUAUAAAAAUAGGUAUCUUCUUCCUCAAAAUUAAAAAUUCAUAGCCAGGCGCGGUGGCUCAUGCCUGUAAUCCCAGCACUUUGGGAGGCCGAGGCAGGCAGAUCACCUGAGGUAAGGAGUUCGAGACUAGCCUGGCCAACAUGGUGAAACUCCGCCUGUACUAAAAAUACAAAAAUUAGCUGGCUGUGGUGGUGGGCUCCUGUAAUCCCAGCUACUCAGGAGGCUGAGGCAGGAAAAUUGCUUGAACCUGGGAGGUGGAUGUUGCAGUGAGCUGAGAUCACGCCAUUGCACUCCAGUCUGGGUGAUGAGUGAGACUCCAUCUCAAAAAAAAAAAAAAAAAAUUAAAAAUUUGUGCUUCUCGGCCAGGUGCAGUGGCUCAAGCCUGUAAUCCCAGCACUUUGGGAGGCCGAGGCAGGCGGAUCAUGACGUCAGGAGAUUGAAACCAUCCUGGCUAACACAGUGAAACCCCGUCUCUAUUACAAAUACAAAAAAAUUAGCCAGGCGUGGUGGCAGGCGCCUGUAGUCCCAGCUAUGCGGUAGGCUGAGGCAGAAGAAUGGCGUGAACCCAGAAGGCAGAGCUUGCAGUGAGCCAAGAUCACACCACUGCACUCCAGCCUGGGCGACAGAGUGAGACUCUGUCUCAAGAAAAUAAAAAUAAAAUAAAAUUUGUGC
rnacentral:lncRNA from 1 species